rnacentral:rRNA from 1 species
CCCUUAGACGUUCUGGGCCGCACGCGCGCUACACUGACCAGUGCAACAAGCAUCCGUCCUUGGCCGACAGGCCCGGGCAAUCUUUGAACGCUGGUCGUGAUGGGGAUAGACUUUUGCAAUUUUUGGUCUUCAACGAGGAAUUCCUAGUAAACGCAAGUCAUCAACUUGCAUUGAUUACGUCCCUGCCCUUUGUACACACCGCCCGUCGCACCUACCGAUUGAGUGAUCCGGUGAAUAAUUCGGACUGCAGCAGUGCUUGGUCCUCCGGGCUUUGCAGCGGAAAGUUUAGUGAACCUUAUCACUUAGAGGAAGGAGAAGUCGUAACA